rnacentral:rRNA from 2 species
AGGGAAUAUUGCGCAAUGGACGGAAGUCUGACGCAGCGACGCCGCGUGAGCGAUGAAGGUCUUCGGAUCGUAAAGCUCUGUCCUUGGGGAAGAAGGUCUUCGGACUUGACGGUACCCAAGAAGAAAGCCCCGGCUAACUACGUGCCAGCAGCCGCGGUAAUACGUAGGGGGCAAGCGUUAUCCGGAUUUACUGGGUGUAAAGGGUGCGUAGGUGGCAUGGUAAGUUAGAUGUGAAAGCCCAAGGCUCAACCUUGGGAUUGCAUCUAAAACUGCCAAGCUAGAGUGCAGGAGAGGAAAGUGGAAUUCCUAGUGUAGCGGUGAAAUGCGUAGAUAUUAGGAGGAACACCAGUAGCGAAGGCGACUUUCUGGACUGUAACUGACACUGAGGCACGAAAGCGUGGGUAGCAAACA